GGCGCUAUAGCCAAGUGGUUACGGCGACAGAUUAGAAUCUUGGUAUUAAAGAGUCAUCUGUUCCUCUUUGAGGGCGCAGGUUCGAAUCCUGCUGGCGUCG